rnacentral:lncRNA from 1 species
AUGCUAAGCAAGUAGGGUUAAUUUCUGCUGACUAUUUCUACUCUGUGGUGCUCUUUUGUUGUUUCAGUAACCAGAACACAUGAUGUUUUAAAGAAGGCAAGGACUAACCUAGAGAGCAGCACUUACAGGAUUGCCUCUGUAAAGCCUUAUUCCUGUCCCAGAAAAGGUGAAAUCCCUAAGGGCUCUGCCGUGUACUCCAGCCUUGUGACCCUUGCCUUCCAGGAACCAUGCAA